rnacentral:rRNA from 1 species
GAUGAACGUUGGCGGCGUGCCUAAUACAUGCAAGUCGAACGGAGAUUGUAGCAAUACGGUCUCAGUGGCGAACGGGUGAGUAACGCGUUGGUGACCUGCCCCGAAGUGUGGAAUAACAGAUCGAAAGAGCUGCUAAUACCGCAUAAUAUCCAGGAGAUUAGAUGCUUCUGGAUUAAAGGAUUUAUCCGCUUCGGGAGGGGCCUGCGUCCCAUCAGCUAGUUGGUAAGGUAAAGGCUUACCAAGGCGAUGACGGGUAGGGGACCUGAGAGGGUGGCCCCCCACAAUGGAACUGAAACACGGUCCAUACACCUACGGGUGGCAGCAGUAGGGAAUAUUAGUAAUGGGCGAAAGCCUGAACUAGCAACGCCGCGUGUGCGAAGAAGGCCUUCGGGUUGUAAAGCACUUUUGUAGAGGAUGAGGAAGGACGGUACUCUCAGAAUAAGUCUCGGCUAACUACGUG